GACAGAGGAUGCAAGCGUUAUCCGGAAUGAUUGGGCGUAAAGCGUCUGUAGGUGGCUUUUUAAGUUCGCCGUCAAAUCCCAGGGCUCAACCCUGGACAGGCGGUGGAAACUACCAAGCUGGAGUACGGUAGGGGCAGAGGGAAUUUCCGGUGGAGCGGUGAAAUGCGCAGAUAUCAGGAGGAACACCGGUGGCGAAGGCGCCACUCUGGGCCGGUACUGACGCUGAGGAGCGAAAGCGUGGGUAGCAAACAGG
rnacentral:rRNA from 1 species